CCAGACUCCUACGGGAGGCAGCAGUGGGGAAUAUUGCACAAUGGGCGAAAGCCUGAUGCAGCAACGCCGCGUGAAGGAAGAAGGGUUUCGGCUCGUAAACUUCUAUCAACAGGGACGAAAGAAAUGACGGUACCUGAAUAAGAAGCCACGGCUAACUACGUGCCAGCAGCCGCGGUAAUACGUAGGUGGCAAGCGUUAUCCGGAUUUACUGGGUGUAAAGGGCGUGUAGGCGGGAAAGCAAGUCAGAUGUGAAAACCAUGGGCUCAACCUGUGGCCUGCAUUUGAAACUGUUUUUCUUGAGUACUGGAGAGGCAGACGGAAUUCCUAGUGUAGCGGUGAAAUGCGUAGAUAUUAGGAGGAACACCAGUGGCGAAGGCGGCGUACUGGACUGUAACUGACACUGAGGCUCGAAAGCGUGGGGAGCAAACAGGAUUAGAUACCCCCGUAAAC
rnacentral:rRNA from 1 species